rnacentral:lncRNA from 1 species
CUCCACCUCCUGCGAUGGAUUCUGCACGGCUCCACCACUCCCUGACGAGUCACGACAACGGACGCCGCUCCACUCUUCGCAACUGACUCCAUGUGGCGAGCCAUGGUGACAGCCACAACUCCCCCCAUUACUCUUCAUAAUAAACUCUUCCUGGCCUCGAGCGGCCCACUACUAGGCGGUUACACACGUCGCUAUCAAUCCGUUGCUCCCUCUGCCUAUAAAAAGGGGACCC